rnacentral:rRNA from 1 species
AUUGAACGCUGGCGGCAGGCCUAACACAUGCAAGUCGAGCGGAUGAGUGGAGCUUGCUCCAUGAUUCAGCGGCGGACGGGUGAGUAAUGCCUAGGAAUCUGCCUGGUAGUGGGGGACAACGUUUCGAAAGGAACGCUAAUACCGCAUACGUCCUACGGGAGAAAGUGGGGGAUCUUCGGACCUCACGCUAUCAGAUGAGCCCAGGGCGGAUUAGCUAGUUGGUGAGGUAAAGGCUCACCAAGGCGACGAUCCGUAACUGGUCUGAGAGGAUGAUCAGCCACAAUGGAACUGAGACACGGUCCAGACUCCUACGGGAGGCAGCAGUGGGGAAUAUUGGACAAUGGGCGAAAGCCUGAUACAGCCAUGCCGCGUGUGUGAAGAAGGUCUUCGGAUUGUAAAGCACUUUAAGUUGGGAGGAAGGGCAGUAAGUUAAUACCUUGCUGUUUUGACGUUACCAACAGAAUAAGCACCGGCUAACUUCGUGCCAGCCGCCGCAGUAAUAC